rnacentral:rRNA from 1 species
AGAGUUUGAUCCUGGCUCAGAACGAACGCUGGCGGCAGGCUUAACACAUGCAAGUCGAACGGGCCCUUCGGGGUCAGUGGCAGACGGGUGAGUAACACGUGGGAACGUACCUUUCAGUUCGGAAUAACCCAGGGAAACUUGGGCUAAGACCGGAUACGCCCUUUUGGGGAAAGAUUUAUCGCUGAGAGAUCGGCCCGCGUCUGAUUAGCUAGUUGGUGAGGUAAAGGCUCACCAAGGCGACGAUCAGUAGCUGGUCUGAGAGGAUGAUCAGCCACAUUGGGACUGAGACACGGCCCAAACUCCUACGGGAGGCAGCAGUGGGGAAUAUUGGACGAUGGGCGCAAGCCUGAUCCAGCCAUGCCGCGUGAGUGAUGAAGGCCUUAGGGUUGUAAAGCUCUUUCGGCGGGGACGAUAAUGACGGUACCCGCAGAAGAAGCCCCGGCUAACUUCGUGCCAGCAGCCGCGGUAAUACGAAGGGGGCUAGCGUUGUUCGGAAUCACUGGGCGUAAAGGGCGCGUAGGCGGCUUGAUAAGUCGGGGGUGAAAGCCUGUGGCUCAACCACAGAAUUGCCUUCGAUACUGUCUGGCUCGAGACCGGAAGAGGUAAGUGGAACUGCGAGUGUAGAGGUGAAAUUCGUAGAUAUUCGCAAGAACACCAGUGGCGAAGGCGGCUUACUGGUCCGGUUCUGACGCUGAGGCGCGAAAGCGUGGGGAGCAAACAGGAUUAGAUACCCUAGUAGUCC